GAUUUGAUGAAUGAUGGGCCAAAUAAAUUCCAAGCCCAAUUAGAGAAGAGCUUAGUACAGAACCAACCAAAAACUAAUGUCUCUCCUUCCAUCCAAAAAAGAACCAUUAGAAGUAGGGCUGGAAAAAACCCAUAGGGAGAAAAAAAUCCUCUCUACACAAGGCUGGACCUAUUUUGGCUUGAAAGAAUUUCAAGCCUAAAUUAAAGAAUGUUAAGAAAAUGAUGGAGAAGAUCCCUACCUCUUUCGUAAACACGCUGCCCACCACCCAGAACAUCAAAUCAAAUUCAAGAAGUCCUGAACCGGAAGCCUUGGAAGCUGCCAUGUUAGGCAAUCUUCGAGCUAUGCAAAAAAAUCAGAAGAAAUCAUUUGAAACUACAAAGAUGGCAAAGGCUAUUUUUGAAGAUCAUGUGGUGAAGAAUCAAUUUCUUGUCUCUACCUCCAAUCAAAUCGUGAAAAUGGUGGCCACAAAAAUGGUUCAAGGAGGAAAGGACCCUCGAAAUAAACCAUCGGAUGAUCAAUUUGGGGAGCCAAGUGACCAAAGCAUUGCAAAAGAUCAUGUGUCUUGUGAUCACGUUGAAGGUGAUGUGGUAGUUUUGACCACAGUUUGAAGUGGAAGAAAAUUGGUUUUCUACACUAAUUGGAGAUCUGAAGAGAGAGUAUGAUGCAAGUUUUCUUAUUCUACUUAAAAUUCAUAUAAGUGGUAAUAGGGGAGAGGUUGUUAGAGAAAGGAUGGGUUAUGAUGGUUGUUUUAUUGAAGAAGCAAGAGGACAGUUAGGGGGUAUAUGGUGUUUAUAGGAUUAUGAUAGCUGGAAAGUAGAAGUUAUCCAUCACAAUACUCAAUUUGUACAUAUGAAGCUUACUGGAAGUCACUCUGUACCUUGGAUUCUUACUACAGUUUACAGAAGUCCUCAAAGGAUUACUCGGCAUGCUUUUUGGGACUCCAUUCGGUCCCUGAGGGAUGACAUUAAUCUGCCAUGGUGUCUUAUUAGGGAUUUCAAUGCCAUUCUUCAUAGUCAUGAAAGGAAGGGAGGAUCCCCUAACCAAAGGCAUGGAGCUUGUAAUGAGUUCCAAUCUGUUGUGUCCGACUGUAGUUUGUUAGAUUUGGGGUUCACCGGCUGGCCUUAUACCUGGAAGAGGGGUAACUUAGUGGAAAGAAUAGACAGAGCUUUAUGCAACUUGGAUUGGCAAUUGAUGUUUCCUGAAGCCAAGAUCAGACAUCUUCCGAUGAUGAAAUCGGAUCACUCCUUUCUCUGUCUCCAACUUUACACGGCUUCGGCUCCCAACAGAAGGAGAAGACCGUUCAGGUUUAUGGCAGCUUGGUUAACGCAUUCUGACUUUGACAAUAUGCUUAAUAAUAAUUGGAACUUUAGAGAUUCUUGGAAUAAUUGUGUGGAAGAUUUCAAAACCGUCCUGAAUGAUUGGAACCGAAACAUCUUUGAAAACAUUCAGUUCAGAAAAAAUAGGAUCUUCCGAAGGCUUCAGGGGAUUGUGACGAGCUUAAGCCAGAACAGUAAUUGUUUCUUAGAAAAUUUGUAAUUUGACCUAUGGAAAGACUAUGAGGAGAUUCUAACUCAGAAAUAAAUUCUUUGGUUCCAGAAAUCUAGGAGCAAUUGGAUUAAUUUUGGGGAUCGAAACACCAAGUACUUCCACGGUACCACCAUGGCUAGAAGAAGAAGAAACAAUAUUGAGUCUCUCGAAGAUGAUAAUGGGAGUUAGGUCACUGAUAGAAGCAGUUUAGAGGUUAUGGCGACUUCUUUUUAUGCUAAAUUGUUUUUAGAUGAUCUACCUGAUAUCCUUUUUGUCCUUAAUCGAGCUUUUUCCCCCCUUUAAGUGUUGAGAAUCUGACUGUUGUUAGUGGUAAUGUUACUUCCACUGAGAUUAAAGAGUCUAUCUUUAGCAUGGGUAGUUUAAAGGCUCAUGGAAAAGAUGGUAUACAAGUUGUGUUCUAUCAAAAUAAGUGGAAAAAAGUUGGUAAUGACCUAUGCAAAUUAGUGAAAGAUAUUCUUGAGAAUCCACAGAAUGUCAAAGAAAUCAAUGAAAUUCUUAUUACCUUUAUUUCAAAAGUGGAGCCAGUUACACGUCUAAAGCAAAUGCGUCCUAUUAGCCUGUGCAAUGUAUCUUACAAUGUUAUUGCUAAGAUCCUUGCGCACAGGCUUCGGAAAGUCAUGGAGAAACUUGUCAAACUGAUUCAGAGCAGUUUUGUUCUGGGGAGACAUACUUCAAACAAUAUCAUUAUUACUCAAAAGGUUAUUCACUCUAUGAGAAGCAAGAAAGGGAAAAAGGGUUGGAUGGCCAUUAAGAUUGAUUUGGAAAAAGCCUAUGAUAGGCUCAAAUGGUCUUUUGUUAAAGAUAUCCUAGCAGAUAUUGGUUUUUCCUCUACUUUCAUUAAUUUGAUUUGCACUUGUAUCUCUACGGUAAGGAUGAGGGUUCUAUAGAAUGGGAAUGUUCUUGAUGAGUUCACUCCCUCAAGAAAAAUUUGUCAAGGAGAUCUGUUAUCCCCUUAUAUCUUUGUUCUCUGUAUGGAGCGCUUGUCCCAACUCAUUAGUGCUACUGUUGAACAUGGGCAUUAGAAGCCGAUUAAGCUCAGCAGAAAGGGGCCCGACUUGUCUCACCUAUGUUUUGCUGAUGAUCUGAUUUUGUUUGCUGAGGUUGAUAUGGAUUAAGCGGGAGUUUGUAACAGAGUUCUUGAAGCAUUCUAUAAUAGCUCUGGGCAAAAAGUGAGCAACGAGAAGACUUGGGUCUUUUUCUCAAAUGAUGUGGGAAAUAAGUCAAAAGUGAGAUUAGUGAAGCCUUGAAUUUCUCCAAGACUGAUGAUCUCGGUAAAUACCUUGGGGUGCCUCUCAUUCACUCUAAAGUAACCAAGGAGACUUUCAACAACAUCAUCAACAAGCUAAAUAUGAGAUUGAAUAGUUGGAAAGCAUCUUCCCUCUCUUUGGCCGGAAGAACCACUUUGGUGAGAUCUGUCCUUUCUUCUAUUCCUAGUUAUACUAUGCAAACUACAAUUUUACCUUCAUCUACUUGUAAUUUGAUUGAUCUAAAUGCAGAAAUUUUUUUUAGGGAGACACUGAACAAUAAAAAAAGAUUCAUCUGUUAAGUUGGAAGAAAAUUAGUGAACUUAAAGGUUCAGUGAGUCUUGGUAUUCAGCACGCAAAAAACCUUAAUCAUGCCUUUAUGAUGAAAGUUGGAUGGGGCUGGUGGAAAAAAAAAGACAAUCUUUGGGCUAGAGUGCUGCGCUCAAAAUAUAAGUUUGGGAAUGAUAUCCUCCUCAAUGUCAACAGAAAGAGCAGUGCAUCAAACCUUUGGAAGGGGAUUUGUUCUGCUUGGAGUGAUGUCAAACGGAACACAACAUGACGUAUAGGCAAUGGAUCAGAAAUAAAUUUUUGGGAUUACAACUGGGUUCCAAAAUUAGGCCGGCUCGACCAAUAUGCAACGCAGGUAAUAAAUACUAAUGUGUCAAACGUGUCUCUAAAUGAAUUCCUUUUUGUUUCAGGUGGAUGGGAUGAAGAAAAAUUGAAGGAAUGGCUGCCAGAGGAAGCUGUUGGUCGUAUCUUUGCUAUUACGCCUCCCUCGCCAUGGAAAGGAAGCGACUGUAUAGCUUGGGAGCCCUCCUCAGAUGGCACCUUCAGUUUGAAGACAGCCUACAACUCUUUCAAGGAGGAUCCAUCGCUGCCAGACCAAGUAUUCAAGUUGGCUUGGAAUUGGAGAGGGUCGAAAAGGAUUUGUGCCUUUCUUUGACUAGUUGUCAAUAAUGCUAUUCUCACCAACGCAGAAAGAAGAAGGAGACAUUUAACUACAAACUCAAGUUGCCCAAGAUGCCAUUGGAAUGAAGAGACCAUUAUAUACGUUCUUCCUGACUGUCCUUAUGCUAAUUUGGUUUGGAAAUCUUUAUUUUCUAAUGAUGAUGAUAGAGACUUCUUCAGGAACAAACUAGUGUUUGAGGGAGUAAUAACCCACCCAACCAAAGCUAUGAUGGCCAUUAAAGCCUGUGCGGCUGAGACUCUCAAUGCUACAAGAAGAGAGAUUGUGCCAAGAAGACCGAAUUUCAUUGCUAAUGGCUUGAUUAAAUGGUAUCCUCCUCCUAAAAAUGUCACUAAAAUUAAUGUAGAUGGUUCCUUCUUCUCCUGGAACAACAUUGCAGCCUGUGGUGGAAUUUUCAGGGAUUAUUUGGACAGAUUUAUCAAAGGUUUCUCUUUCAAUUCGGGAAGUUGUUCGAUCACUCAUGCUGAGUUGUGGGGCAUCAUUAAAGGGAUACAAAUUGCAAUCAUCAAUGACCUCCAUGAUGUUAUUAUUGAAACUGAUUCUCAGGUGGCUUUCAAUUUCGUUAAAGAUGGUGUUCAUUCUUUACACCCUUGUGCACCUCUAAUAAAAGACAUAAGAAUUCUUGCCAAUCGCAUCCAGCACAUCAACUGGUCUCACACACUUCGUGAAGCAAACUCUCUGGAUGAUCUCCUAGCAAAAAAAGGACAAGAGCUCCCCUUUAACUUGCAUAUCUAUGAUGUCCCGCCCUUAGAUAUUUGUUAUGCUUUGAGUUUGGAUUGUUUUAGAACUUUUAGACUUAGAGGAUCCUAG